rnacentral:misc_RNA from 1 species
GAUGAAGAACGUAGCGAAAUGCGAUAAGUAAUGUGAAUUGCAGAAUUCAGUGAAUCAUCGAAUCUUUGAACGCACAUUGCGCCCAUUAGCAUUCUAGUGGGCAUGCCUGUUCGAGCGUCAUUUCAACCCUUAAGCCCUGUUGCUUAGCGUUGGGAGCCUACAGUACUGUAGCUCCCCAAAGUUAGUGGCGGAGUCGGUUUCACACUCUAGACGUAGUAAAUUUUUCUCGUCUGUAGUUGAGCCGGUCCCCUGCCGUAAAACACCCAAUUUAUCAAGGUUGACCUCGGAUCAAGUAGGAAUACCCGCUGAACUUAAGCAUAUCAAUAAGCGGAGGA